GUCAACAAUAAUAUUUAAUUUUAAUUCCACAUAAAAAUACAUUUAAAAUUCGGUUAAAAGCGUCUACAAAUAAACAUAGUUCAUAAAAUAAUGUUUUUAAUUCUUAGUUCCGUUAAUGUGACCAAAUCGGUAUUAAAUAUUUAUUUAUUUUUAAAAUGACGUACGCACAAAUCACACUUUCAAAAUUUGUAUUAUCUAAUAUUAUGAUGCUUUGAAAAUUGUCAAAAUUAAAUACAAUUCCAAACAAUAUUUCGUAUUUACCAUUGUUACGUGUUGGCAGAAAUAUCUAGAAACAUAUUAUCAAGUUAUAUGUAUUUUUUUAAUAAAUUAAUUUAAAAUCAAAUUUACCUCUUUGACGUUGCUUGCGAUUACUUAAAAAAACCAGUCCGUUUUUUAAUAUAGUUGAACAAAAACGAAUCUAACACUAUUAAUUCGGCAUUGUAAUUAUGUUACUAGACAUACAUAUUAAGUAGGUGCAAAUAAAACUAAAUUUUAAUAGUUUUAUCCGGAGUUUUUGAAGUGAAACUUCUUUAGGCGCAUGAGGGUAAAUUUUUUACAGAUGUAACGUCACGUAGGUAUGCAACGGAAGUGUCGAAAAAUUUUAAUACAGCGCCAUCUAUGAGAUUUUUUAAUACUAAUGUGUGCAUGAAACCUCUUGUAGUGAAUUUCAAUUUAGGAUUAUACGUGACGAUUAAAAUAUCGAUUCACAGAGGACGCUACCUCAUACUAUAAAAGAUGAUUUACAAUUUUUACUAAUGACAAAAUUUUACAUACACUUAGACAUUUAGGAUAAUUGUAUUUUAAUUUUUGAAGGUUUCACUUCUAACACGUGUGAAUUGCACACAUGUUAUUUUUUUAUUGUUACUGCAUUUUAUUUCAAUGCCCGUGUCCUCGAAUUAAGUAGGCACUUAAAGACACUGGAGUAGCAAAGAAAUAUCUUUGUUUCCGAAAUCGAUUUGAAUACCCAAUACAGAAUUAGUAAAGCCACUGUUAAAAUAGAUAGGUACAUUCUGUCUCACAAAGUUAACCCGUAAUCGACUCAAGUCACAAAAAACGGAAUUAAGAACCAAUAAACGUCUUUUUUUUUUGUUAAAAUAGACACGUGAAUACAAAUAACGCUUCAUGUUUUCAGUUUUUGCCACGUUAUGAUGAGUUCGUUAGGUUGACGCACGCUUCCCUCCAAAAACAAAACACUUUUCAAGCGACAAAAUCCAAAAUGGAUUUUCGAGUUUCGACAACAAUUAAAGCAAGCGCAAAAAUAUUAUAAGGAUCAAUAACGCUGCACUAAUCAAGCACCAUUUUAUAAUUAUUGACUUAUUUAGAAUAUUGAAAUUCAUUAAGACACUUGACUAUAAGCGCACUACCUAUUUUUUGUUCCUCUAAAUGCCAAGCUGGUUGGAUUCCCGCGUACGGAACUAAUACUGAAUCAAUUGACUGUGAUAUAUUCAAACGAUCGACCAAUAAACUAAUUAAUUAUCUAAAACAUUUUUGUGAAAGAGCACUAGAAUAAUAAUUAUAAGUGUCGUUCGUAUAUAUAAUUUUAAGGUCGGGUAUUAUUUUACAUUUGAAUUGAUUAAAAUAGAAUUGAUUGACUGUAUCAACUUCAUUGCACGCACGGUAACGAACUUUUCGAAAAAUUGUUUUGCUACAAUUUAUAUUCAAAGGCAAAGGUGUUCGUGAACAAAGUGCUUAAAAAUAAACAUUGACUUCUUUUUUUUUUCGCUAAAUACAAAAGUUUCUUCAUCAGUGUGGAUUAUUUACACAACGUACACGUGAAUAGUGUGAAUAAUGAAUCAUUAAAAGGUUCGUGUUCGUAGAGAUGGAUAGCCGGAGCAGAUAAAUCGGAGCUAGUCUUCUUCGAAAAGUCCACUAAGACUACUCCUAAAUUCCCGCCAAUUUACUGACGAAUAUCCUUGAAGAUUAUCCGAACUAAGAUAAGCUAGAAUUAUUUAAAACUUUCACGUUUAUCUUAAUUUUAAUCACAACUAUUUCGCGGGUUAAGCUUACCUCUAUUUUUAAUUUUGACGAGCCCCCGAUAUUUCGGCGGUGUUGCAAGCGCAUUAUAAUUACACACCCAAAAACGGACUAGAACCAGUAUAUACAGGUGUGCCUGCAUCUAAAAUCAACUUUCUUCAACCUACCCGUGGUCACGGCAACAGCGUCAAAAUAUCGGACACUCAUUGUAGCUAUCAAUAAUGCUUACAAUCUAAAAUGUCGAGUGACCGACGGCCGUAAUCGUUUCAAAAAUCAAAGCCGAUUGCCAUGAUAAAAAUUACGAAUACCUAUUAAUUAAUCCGCUUAAGCUAGAUCCUCGCGCUUGCAAGAUAACCAACCGAACCGAAUGGUAUCCAUUCUAAGGCCUCAAUUAUCACAUUUCCCAAAGAGACCAAGCAUUAAGUAGUUUUAAAAAAAAAUCUUUUAUUGAAAACAAAUAUUCAAGAACAAAAUAUUUAUUAUUCAAAAUCAUGAAAACAAUAUAAAAUAUUGAAAAACAAAAAAAAAGAGCAUAAUCAUAACCAUUUACCAUACAACGCUGCCAUAUUUUAUAAGCUACAAUAAAAAAAAAUUGAAUGUUCUGUAUAAUGAUUUUAAAAUAUAUAAAUAUACCUACAUCUAGCUUUAUAUUCCUAGUGAGGUGACACAGUUAUGACAGAUGUCACGCACGUCAGAAUAAGACACGAUCAUUUCAGAAUAAGGAUGUUCCUCUCUGUUUUUUUUUGAGUGGCAAAUUUUUAAUUCUAUAAAUUUUGCAAUAACAAAUUUAUUAGAUUGAAUAUCUUUAUUAUUUCUGAUUAUUUGUUUCUUUAAUUUUUUCUGUUGUUAUUUUUUUACAGAAAAAACAUAAUUAUAUGAAUUCUGAAUUAAAUUUAAAUUAAUUAUUCAAUGUAGGACAGAUAAUGUUAGGUAGCGUCACAACACGCAACUGAACAAUAAUGAAGCUGAAUUUUUUUUUUUAUUUAUUGCAUUUAUCUAAGGUAUCAGUAUAGUCACAACGGCUGCCGCGCCCUUCAAACCGAAAUGCAUUACUGCUUCACGGCAGAAAUAGGCGGGGCGGUGGUACCUACCCGUGCGGACUCGCAAGAGGUCCUACCACCAGUGAAAUUGAUUACAAAUUCGUCGAAUAUGAUAAUAAUGUAACAACAAAAAAAAAAAAAAUUAAGACAUGAGUGGAUUGGGUAAAGCACCAUUAUUAAGAUUUUUGAGUUUUUAUAUUGAAUUAAGGUGUUAUGUGCUUACAAACCAUAGUAACCAUAGUAGACCUUAAAACUCAGGGUUUAAAGGCUAUUUUUAGAAAUUGCAUAUGAAGAAGGAGUUAUAUACGAAGAAAAAGUACAAAUAACAAAAGCUUGUUGCCAAUUUUCUCAAAAUUAACAAAUUGUAUCAUACAUAUCCCCUUCAUCCACUCAUGUCUUCAUAUAUGUUUGCAGACAAAACAAUCCGCGUUAUAGGACAUGCCUCAGUUAUAUUGACCUCAAAUGACGUCAUAACAUUGGACGGCACGUUCGGCUGGUUUUGUAUGGAAAAUUCAAAAAUAAUAUUUGCCCAGUUCAUUAGUGUUAAGUUAUAAUUGUCAAGAAACGUUCCCCAGUGGCUUGGGUUCGAAACCGCGGAUGCGAUUUAUCAAAAUUAAAUGCGCUAAAUACUUUGAUCGGUAAAAAAAAAACUCAAAUACAAAUUAAAAAAAUACAAAAUAAUUAUUUUUUAUUUUAACCAUGAUCACCCAAAGGUUUUCAGAAAUAUUAAUUCGUCAACGGUACAAUGAAUUUACAAAUAUAAAUAUGUACACUUUAUAUUUAUAUAUUGAAUUAAUAAACAUUUCUCUAUGCGAGAUCAAAAAAAUUAACUUUUUCAGUUUUGUCAAAAAAAAAAUGUCUAUAUAUUUUUUUAAUUAUUUAGUUACAUACAUAUCUAAGUAAUUAUUACUCCAUUCAUUACUUAUUAAACAAAAAUAAAGGUACACCAAGUUUGCUUUAAGAUGAAAAAAAGCAUUUUGGGCGAAUUCUAUUUGACCACAAAAAAACAGGACAAAAAAGUAUGAAUUAAAAAAAAAAUACAAAACAUGUCGUUUCGUCGGUAUUAAAAACAAAAAUCUCAACGCAAACUAUAAAAUGGCACUAAGAAACUAAUUUAAAACAUAUUUCAUUCAUUUAAAAUCAUAUAACAAAUAAAUGAUCAUACCAUUUUUUUUAUAAAUCUUUUCAUUCACAUUCAUUUUAAUGUUGAUUCGAACAAAAAAAAAUGCAUUGAGAAAAUGUCAAUUAUUGGAAAUCGAUAGAAUUGUAAGAACGUAUGUAUGUAUACUAUGGCACAAUAAAAAAAAAACUUAAAAAAACACCAUAAACUAAACAUUAACCCAUUGUUAUAAAAGACGCUAAAGUAUGGGUUUUCAUAAAAAUCUCAAAGUUCACAUUAAACAGUGUUCUAUGUAAUAGUGAAAAACAACGUUUUCAUUAUUAAAACAUUAUUACAAGCGCACGAGAAUGUUAACGCCGCCAUUUCUAAGCAUUUGAUAACCUAAACACACUGCAGCAUCGGAAGGGAAAAAUAAAUAUUCGUAUAAAAAAAUCGGAGGAUACAUGUGCUAAAAUGUUGGGAUUAUCGGAACAUUUCAAGUUUCAAACAAUUACAUACCUAUAUAUUAUUACGAUUAAAACAGAUUUAUGUAAAUAAAUAAAAGGAACUUUUAUGUGGAUUAUUAUUUAAAAUACACGAGCUGGAGAUGCGAAUGUAUUAUAGCAAGAUUCCUGGACAUAACGUCCGAAAUACUUGAAGAAAUGUUUUUAAAUGAUAAUAUUGAAGACAGCUGGCGAAGGACGCAAAGAUGUUUACAUGUUUGAAAAAAAAUACGGGUGACGCGUAAGUCAGCUAUUUUGAAUUUGCUCCCUAUAAUCCAUUUAAAAUAGUACGAUGAAUUUUUAUAAUUAAGAAACAAUGGUGAUUAAGAAAAAUAAAUGAGUUAAGUAUGUAAUAAAAGUAGAAUUAAGUAAUUAUAGAAACGAUCAAUUAUUGCUAAUUUUUCAUUGUGAUAGUGUAGCUUAGAAUAUAUUACGUAAAAUUAGAUACUCGAUAAAAUAAAUUGCAUAAAUACAAAUAUUAAAAUAUAUAUAAUAUAAGAAA